GGACUACUGGGGUAUCUAAUCCUGUUUGAUCCCCACGCUUUCGUGCCUCAGCGUCAAUGUCUGCUUAGUGAGCUGCCUUCGCAAUCGGUGUUCUAUGUCAUAUCUAUGCAUUUCACCGCUACAUGACAUAUUCCGCCCACCUCAACAGAAUUCAAGACGAAUAGUAUCAAUGGCAGUUUCCAAGUUGAGCUCGGAGAUUUCACCACUGACUUAAACGCCCGCCUACACACCCUUUAAACCCAGUGAAUCCGGAUAACGCUUGCACCCUCCGUAUUACCGCGGCGGCUGGCAC
rnacentral:rRNA from 1 species